GGUGGGGUACCGAAGCGGUCAAACGGGGCAGACUGUAAAUCUGCUGGCUUAUGCCUUCGUAGGUUCGAAUCCUACCCCCACCA
rnacentral:tRNA from 1 species